rnacentral:rRNA from 1 species
CGGGUGAGUAACACGUGGAUAACCUACCUAUAAGACUGGGAUAACUUCGGGAAACCGGAGCUAAUACCGGAUAAUAUAUUGAACCGCAUGGUUCAAUAGUGAAAGACGGUUUUGCUGUCACUUAUAGAUGGAUCCGCGCCGCAUUAGCUAGUUGGUGAGGUAACGGCUUACCAAGGCAACGAUGCGUAGCCGACCUGAGAGGGUGAUCGGCCACACUGGAACUGAGACACGGUCCAGACUCCUACGGGAGGCAGCAGAU